rnacentral:rRNA from 1 species
GACGAACGCUGGCGGCGUGCUUAACACAUGCAAGUCGAACGGAAAGGCCCUGCUUUUGUGGGGUGCUCGAGUGGCGAACGGGUGAGUAACACGUGAGUAACCUGCCCUUGACUUUGGGAUAACUUCAGGAAACUGGGGCUAAUACCGGAUAGGAGCUCCUGCUGCAUGGUGGGGGUUGGAAAGUUUCGGCGGGUGGGGAUGGACUCGCGGCUUAUCAGCUUGUUGGUGGGGUAGUGGCUUACCAAGGCGUUGACGGGUAGCCGGCCUGAGAGGGUGACCGGCCACAUUGGGGCUGAGAUACGGCCCAGACUCCUACGGGAGGCAGCAGUGGGGAAGAUUGCACAAUGGGCGGAAGCCUGAUGCAGCAACGCCGCGUGCGGGAUGACGGCCUUCGGGUUGUAAACCGCUUUCGCCUGUGACGAAGCGUGAGUGACGGUAAUGGGUAAAGAAGCACCGGCUAACUACGUG